AUACAUGCAAGUUGAGCGCUGAAGGUUGGUACUUGUACCGACUGGAUGAGCAGCGAACGGGUGAGUAACGCGUGGGGAAUCUGCCUUUGAGCGGGGGACAACAUUUGGAAACGAAUGCUAAUACCGCAUAAAAACUUUAAACACAAGUUUUAAGUUUGAAAGAUGCAAUUGCAUCACUCAAAGAUGAUCCCGCGUUGUAUUAGCUAGUUGGUGAGGUAAAGGCUCACCAAGGCGAUGAUACAUAGCCGACCUGAGAGGGUGAUCGGCCACAUUGGGACUGAGACACGGCCCAAACUCCUACGGGAGGCAGCAGUAGGGAAUCUUCGGCAAUGGACGAAAGUCUGACCGAGCAACGCCGCGUGAGUGAAGAAGGUUUUCGGAUCGUAAAACUCUGUUGUUAGAGAAGAACGUUGCAUAGAGUGGAAAAUUAUGCAAGUGACGGUAUCUAACCAGAAAGGGACGGCUAACUAC
rnacentral:rRNA from 1 species